GAUCCACACUCUGGGCCUUCUGGAGGUGCCCCCAUCCAAAUGCCCACAACCCAUCAGAUACACAGCAAGCUGGCCAGAUUGGUAACCUCAAGACCCCGUUCCUGGGCCACCGCCUCCAGGAAUGAGUGGCACACAAACAGCCCUCACCUUCUGUCAAAGGCCAGGUAGGCCCUGAGAUAGCAGAGCUUUUUAAGUCUAUCUGGUCUGCUCCUCUUCUCUUUCUCUCCUCCAGGUCGACUGGCAUGCCCCACCCCAUUUACCAUCCUAAGACCCCCUAAUUUGAGCUGAAACUGACGAACUCUAGGGAUCAUCUCUGCGCUGGGCAAGACGGUGCCACCUCCUUGAUCCAUCCGAAGGGCAAAGCUCCGGAGCCAGCCGACCCCAAAUGGCUUCUCAACAGGUGGCGAGGAUUCCAGGAACGCACAAGUCCCCGCAGGAUCCCUCGGAGAACCGCUUCCAGUCGCACGCCAGCAAGAGCACGCCCCCUUCCCCAUCCCCGCACGCCGGAGGCCAGCGCUCCCGCGGGCCUCGGAGACUAGACCGCGCGCGGCCCACACUGCGACUCCGGGAGGAGGGAUACAUAGCAAGACUGCCCCAGGACGACCCUGGCCACCCUUCUUGGUACACUUCCUUCCUGUUCCAGGCCCCUAGGUCACUCCCAAAGGUCUGCGGAAUGGCGUGGCCCCAGGGUGCGGGGCCAGAACCCUCACUCCGACAGCCGGCCGAGCUCUGCGCGCCGAAGUAGGGGCGGGAGGAGGGGCCGAGGGGGCGGGCCCAGGCCAGUUCCCAGUUACAAAUACAGCUGCUCCCGGGAGGCCAAGCAGGAGACUUUCGUCCCUAAACGCGCACAUCCCUCGCCCGGAGGCGCCAUGACUUCACUGUCGAGUCCCGGACCUUCCCCAGGAUCCCGGGGCGCACUCGGCCGGCUGUUUGGUGGCCUGAGUGGGGGAUACGGCCGCGAUCCGCGAGGUGACCUCGCGAUCCCGCUCCCUCUUUGGCUCGGCCUGGCCAAAAUCCACCAGGCGAAAUACCAGAGGCAGUUUCGACCCUUCUGAAAGGGAACGAGGCGCUGGAAGGUCGAAGAGUCUCUCUCCUCCUGGAAGGUGAAGAAGUUGGGGAGAUGAAGGUGUAAGAGCGGCCUAGAGGGCCUUGGGGCCAGGAUCUCGCACCCCACCCAUAGCCCCGAGUUUGCACUUGCAUACCUCCUCCCCAUGCAGACCCAGGAGGUCGCGCACGUCCGAGCUCAGGCUUAAGCUGAGUCUCCUGACUGUGCAUGGAACGUACCCGAAUACACACGGGAGAAUUAGAGGAACGUUAACAGCAGAAGUGAGGAAAAACGUGUCCACAGACAGAAUUAUUAGAAUGGACGGGUGCGUACCCAGUUGUCCAGAUGCAGACGAAAGCGGCAGUGCCCGCGCAGAGUGACCCCAGCCACGCGAGCAGAUGUGCAGGAAGCCACAGGCGGGGAGGGCGGCGAAGGAGGAUGCAGGCUGGGAGGCCAACAGUUUCCUGCCAGAGGGAAGUUGGCUCCCGAAGGAGACUUUGUUGAGGCGACUGGGUAAAAGGUUUCAGGUGAAGUCCUGGAGACUAGAAAGAGCACCUCAUCCACCCCAAAGCCCACCCAUUCACCCUCCUCUCAGCUGGCCUGGAGACACCCGGAAGAGGGCAAUCCAGGAAAGACUCAGUUUGCCUGGGAUUUAGUUAUUAUUAUUGGUUUAGGAGAUUGUGUUCUGAAGGGGGUGGGGUGUAGAGCAUAGAUGUCCUCACUCAAUGCCCGGGGAUUCCUGAUUCUUAAGGAGAACGUUCAGCUCUAACCAGGGCUCAAGAAGCUGGCGGGUUCUUAUUUCGCUCCUUUUAUCCCAAAUUUAACCGUUGAAAGAACCUUAGCUCAGCUGCACACCCGCCUGCCCUAGCUUCCAUCACACUACCCUGCAUUGCAAAUAAGCCUGCAAAAGAACACUCCAGAGCAAGCUGAAUUAUUUGGUUUAUUGAACUAAUUUUCUUUGUGAGAUAUUGGGAAGUUGUUACCCCGUACUCCCUGGUCCCAGACAGAGCUCAGUAUCCUGGCCAAGCUGGGGAUUUGCAAAGACAGAUUCCCAGAGUGGCUCUCCCGAAAGGCCUGAGCAAGUGCACAGGCUUGUUUGUACUUUCAGCUCAGUUUAUCUGCCCAGACCUAGGGAACUUUCUAGACAGUAGCCACGAUGGUUUUCCUGCAGAAGAGCCAGGCACACUGGAUGCAAUGGUGCCCUCCCUUCCACUUGGCCUCCUCCCCAACUCUCUUUCUGAAAGUAGAGGGUAAGUUUGGGAAGAUUCUUUCAGACAAAAAAAGAAAAAAAGAGGACUUUCUGGGCCAGCAAGUCGGAUGAUCACCCUCCAAGGGGCAGAGGAAGGUAUGUCUUGUGAAGAAGAGAUGAACCAUCCGGAAAACACGGCAGGAGAACAUGGCUGAGCAGAUGUAGAUGCCCUAGAAACGGAGGGGGUGUGGGGGGUGAGGAGGGAAGAAUUUCUUCCUCUUGGGGGCAAACACUGUAUCCUUUUCCUCCCCCAAAGAUACACUUCAUUCCUUAAUUUUAGCAAGAGUUUGUUCUUGUAGAUGUUUUGAACAAUAAAAAGCGAAAAUCCCUUUAGACUCGAUUAAUCUUCCUUAGAAGGGCAGUUUCUUCCAAGACCUUUUUCUUUCCCCAGGUUUCUUUUUCCUUAUUCCCUAAGAGUCCACCUGCUGAUGCACAAAGAGGUGUGACAGCAAGAGAGACAAAUAAGGAGACUGUCACUCCCAAACCCGAAGUGUAACUUCCAUCCUCUGUUGCUGAGAUUCAGGGCACAAAAAGUGAAGCUCUUUCCUUGGGGCCAUUUCUCUCCACUUUGGGUGGUUUAUUUAGAGCCUGUCCAAACAAUAAAUAACAAUCAGCAUUUUAGAUUUGGAGAUGUUUGUUAUUACCAAUUAAUUCUUAAAACUCCAUCUGAUUUCUAAGACUGCGUGUCCAUAGCUAAGCUCAUUGCAACAUUUAUCACUCAAGCAGAAAAGCAGCUCGUUGUCUCAUAGCCCCAAACGCCAGUGUACAGUGACUGGAGCAAUUUUUUUCCUCCGUGUUUCCUAAACGCCCUUGUCACCUCUGCCCGAGCCACAGGGCUCAGGGCAAAACCGGGAAGGUUUGUGAGUCUCUUGAUUCGGGCGCACUGUGUUAGCUUUUUUGUUGUGAGGAAUUCUUAGUGAUUGCGUGUUUUCCUUUUUUUUUUUUUGGCCCAAAACGAGCCGACUAGAGUUGCCCGCGUCUUCCUCAGCAGACGCCCGCCGCCUAGAUAGA